AUUGAACGCUGGCGGCAGGCAUAACACAUGCAAGUCGAACGAGUGGCGGACGGGUGAGUAAUGUCUGGGAAACUGCCUGAUGGAGGGGGAUAACUACUGGAAACGGUAGCUAAUACCGCAUACCAUCGGAUGUGCCCAGAUGGGAUUAGCUAGUAGGUGGGGUAAAGGCUCCCCUGGGCGACGAGCCCUAGCUGGUCUGAGAGGAUGACCAGCCACCCGGGAACUGGGACACGCCCCAGACUCCUACGGCAGGCAGCAGUGGGGAAUAUUGGACACGGGGCGCAAGCCUGAUGGAGCCAUGCCGUGUGUAUGAAGAAGGCCUUCGGGUUGUAAAGGACUUUCAGCGGGGAGGCGUUACCCGCAGUAGAAGCACCGGCUAACUCCGUGCCAGCAGCCGCGGUAAUUC
rnacentral:rRNA from 1 species